UUUUUUUUUUUUUUGUAUUUUAAGUAGAGAUGGCGUUUCACUGUGUUAGCCAGGAGGGUCUCUAUCUUCCUGACCUCGUGAUCCGCCGGCCUCAGACUUGCAAAGUGCUGGGAUUACAGGCGUAAACCACUCUGCUUGGCUUUAUCUGCCAUUCUUAUAGGAAGCCAGUAUUAAAUGUUGAACGAAUGAAAGGGAGGGCUCAAUAAAGAGAUGUUUCCCUCCCAGAUAACUUCAACUCAACUAGAGUGUUGAACUCACCAAUGGACAUUUGAUGACAUGAUCCCAAAAUUACAUAAAUUACCGAAGAACAGAAAGCUGCAUAAGCGAUGUUGAGAGGAGGAAUCAGUUGCCUUGCCAGCAAACUAAGUGUCAGGCCUGAAAAGCAAGAUAAUUUAAGAAAAAGUAGCUUGGCUUUAAAAGUCACCUUAAAUAAAAACUGUAAAGAACAUUUAAAAUAAAAACGAUCCAUGUGUAUA